GGAGCAAACAGGAUUAGAUACCCCGGUAGUCCACGCCGUAAACGAUGGGCACUAGGUGUUGGUUCACGAUGAGUGGAUCAGUGCCGAAGCUAACGCAUUAAGUGCCCCGCCUGGGGAGUACGAUCGCAAGGUUGAAACUCAAAGGAAUUGACGGGGGCCCGCACAAGCGGUGGAGCAUGUGGUUUAAUUCGAUGCAACGCGAAGAACAUUACCUGGGCUUGAACUGAAGUGGCUCGCCACCGAAAGGUGGUUUUUCCUUCGGGAACUGCUUCAGAGGUGCUGCAUGGCUGUCGUCAGCUCGUGCCGUGAGGUGUUGGGUUAAGUCCCGCAACGAGCGCAACCAUUGCCCUUAGUUGCCAUCAGGUUAUGAUGGGAACUCUAAGGGGAAUGCCCCGGAUAACGGGGAGGAAGGUGGGGAUGACGUCAAGUCCUCAUGGCCCUUACGUCCAGGGCUACACACGUGCUACAAUGGCUGGUACAACGGGAAGCGAUAUCGCGAGAUGGAGCAAAUCCUUAAAAACCGCUUUCAGUUCGGAUUGCAGUCUGCAACUCGACUGCAUGAAGUUGGAAUCGCUAGUAAUCGCGGAUCAGCAUGCCGCGGUGAUACGUUCCCGGGCCUUGUACACACCGCCCGUCACGCCAUGGAAGUCGGUAGCACCCGAAGCCGAUG
rnacentral:rRNA from 1 species